rnacentral:rRNA from 1 species
UACGAAGGGGGCUAGCGUUGCUCGGAAUCACUGGUCGUAAAGGGUGCGUAGGCGGGUUUUUAAGUCAGUGUUGAAAUCCUGGAGCUCAACUCCAGAACUGCCUUUGAUACUGAAGAUCUUGAGUCCGGGAGAGGUGAGUGGAACUGCGAGUGUAGAGGUGAAAUUCGUAGAUAUUCGCAAGAACACCAGUGGCGAAGGCGGCUCACUGGCCCGGUACUGACGCUGAGGCACGAAAGCGUGGGGAGCAAACAGG